rnacentral:tRNA from 1 species
GAGUGUGGUUCAAUGGUACAGCACUUGUCUAGCAUACAUGAGGCCCUGGGUUCUAUCCCCAACACCA